rnacentral:rRNA from 1 species
ACUUUAAUUGAAGAGUUUGAUCAUGGCUCAGAUUGAACGCUGGCGGCAGGCCUAACACAUGCAAGUCGAGCGGUAACAGGGAUCAGCUUGCUGAUUCGCUGACGAGCGGCGGACGGGUGAGUAAUGUCUGGGAAACUGCCUGAUGGAGGGGGAUAACCACUGGAAACGGUGGCUAAUACCGCAUAACGUCGCAAGACCAAAGUGGGGGACCUUCGGGCCUCAUGCCAUCAGAUGUGCCCAGAUGGGAUUAGCUUGUAGGUGGGGUAACGGCUCACCUAGGCGACGAUCCCUAGCUGGUCUGAGAGGAUGACCAGCCACACUGGAACUGAGACACGGUCCAGACUCCUACGGGAGGCAGCAGUGGGGAAUAUUGCACAAUGGGCGCAAGCCUGAUGCAGCCAUGCCGCGUGUAUGAAGAAGGCCUUCGGGUUGUAAAGUACUUUCAGUGGGGAGGAAGGCG